rnacentral:lncRNA from 1 species
AGGAAUGUUUUGACUUCUACGCUCAUUGCCUAACUUGUAACAUCUAGGCCUAGUGUGUCCUAGAGCACCACAGUGGUGGCAGGUGGGAAUAAACCUAGGCUCAAAAGUACGUGUCUGAGGGUACCUGGUCCUAAUGUUCCUACGUGAUUGAUGACUUUGUUCCCUAGGAAUGCUCUUACCCUUACUUGGACUCCUAACCGUAUUAGGCUUAGAGGCAGCCACGAAGACAGUCUUAGAUGGUCCAGCAAUAGUUGUAUUACCCUCAACAUAUCCUAGACCUCUCUUGUCUCCCACUGGCUUAUUCAUUCCCAAUAGGUUAUCUAAUUUCUUGUUUCCACUAAUGAAUGUCUGAAGAUGGGCAUUAGAUUUUUCCAAUUCACUAGUCAAACUCUUAACCUUGUCUUCCAAUUUCUCAUUGACACACUUCAACUCACUACCGCUCUUAAGUGACUCCUGAAGCUUACCACCCAGUUUCUCUUUUUCCCUUUCAAGUUCGUCAAG